rnacentral:rRNA from 1 species
UACGUAGGGGGCAAGCGUUGUCCGGAAUCAUUGGGCGUAAAGAGCGCGUAGGCGGCCCUGUAAGUCCGCUGUGAAAGUCAAGGGCUCAACCCUUGGAUGCCGGUGGAUACUGCAGGGCUAGAGUCCGGAAGAGGCGAGUGGAAUUCCUGGUGUAGCGGUGAAAUGCGCAGAUAUCAGGAGGAACACCGAUGGCGAAGGCAGCUCGCUGGGACGGUACUGACGCUAAGACUCGAAAGCGUGGGGAGCAAACAGG